rnacentral:rRNA from 1 species
UCAAGACAUUUUUAUCCCCCUUAAAUAUUAUCAACAACUGUUCUAAACUUAAAGAACAUGGCGGUGUCUUACAAACUCAGGGGAACCUGUCCCUUAAUUUGAUAUUCCACAUAUCCCCACACCCAAUUUUACCAAGCCUGUAUACUGCUGUCGCCAGCAAACCUAAAUAAACGUUUGCACACUAUAAAAUACGUCAAGUCAAAGUGCAGCACAUAAUUGGGGGCGAGAUGGGUUACAACCUAAAUAAAGAUACUGACCUACUAACCAACUUAUCAGGUGGACUUGAUAGUAAUCUAAUCAAAUAUAAACAUUUAUCUAAGACAUGUACACAUCGCCCGUCACUCCCAUAAAAUUG